GACAGGGAAGAAAAAAGGGUGGAAAUUGUCCUCUGGAUGCUUUGGAGUCAUGAUUUGGAGUUUGCUUGUGUUUUGUGUGUAUGUGCACACAUAGCCACUGAUUUAACAAGGAGUAUUUGUAGGGCUGGGCACACGCCUUUAAUCCCAGAACUUAGGAGGCAGAGGCAGGCAGAUUUCUGAGUUCGAGGCCAGCCUGGUCUACAAAGUGAGUUCCAGGACAGUCAAGGCUAUACAGAGAAACCCUGGUCUCGAAAAAAAAAAACAAAAACAAAACAAACAAACAAAAAUCCAAGGUGUAUUUGUUUAAGGAGACAUCUUAAUUAGGAUUUUAUUACUGUGAACAGACACCAAGACCAAUGCAAGUUUUAUAAAGGACAUUUAAUUGGGUGUUGGGGUCGGCCUGUGGCUCUCAUGUCCAGGUUCCAGCCUGGGAGGCAACCGGAGCUGAAAGAGAAGGGGGAACCUAGACGGGUCAAGAAAUAAUGGAAACCAAGACAAGCUAGUCUGUUCAAGGCUCAAAGGUUCAAUGAGGAUCGUGCUUAUAAAGAAGAGGGGGAGGCCCAUCCCCCACCAUGCCAAGUUUCUUGAUGUUGAGAUGCUAAGUUGUCAGCACAGCCUUUUAGCAGAAAGUCACCAAAUUUACAGGUUGCAGUUAACUCCGGAAAAUCUUGGCGAACUGGUUAGGCCUCAUGGCAGGUGGCAGGCGGUGUCACAUCAAAGGAAACUAGUUGAGUCUGAGAAGCAGCACUGCAGGUGGCCCAGCCUCAGUGCUGUAAGGUCUGAACCAGCCUGCCAAGGCUGAAGGAGGUUACAUUUUCCCCCCUGUAAAUAAUAUUUUUAAAAAACUGGACUGAGGCAUAAAAUUUAUUUAUGCUCUAUAGUCCUGCCUGGGAGGGGUGGCUGGCGGCUGCGCCUGUCUUAGGAAAUCUUAGAUCUUCCCGAACCAUCCAAUUCCGUCUUGGAGGCUACAUGCAGCUAGUUUGUGUUAUAUUUCACACAAACAUGGCUCUGUGGUGUGUUAUCAACAGCCACGGCCUUUUGGCAUGUACCUCUGUCUUAGAUUGGUAUGGUUCUGAGAUCUGGGUGCCCGUCAUUGACUGUCCGGCCCUCAUUAGCUCACCUUAUUCCCAAUUCAGACCAAAGCCACAAUAUGUACUUAGAAUGCUUCUUGAUUAAUAACUGCCACCUGCGCUGUUGGAGGCGGGGCUGUACACCUGCUGCAGUCAGGCUGAAGGGCAUUGACUGACCUGCUUGAAAAACAAAGGUGGGGCAGUGAAAAGCAACAGUAUAAAAGCUUCUUUGGAGAAGUCCAGGUACUUUAUUCAGUUGCAAAUUAACAACAACCAACCUAGACCUUGAGCUCUCAGUGUGGAGGAGCUGGCCUUGAGAAUCACAGAAAGGCUGCAAUCUUUCUGGGAGAGGAGGCUGUGCUCCAAAUUAACUUUGUUAGGUAAAUAAGAAUAUUUAGCUAUAUUCAAUAUGAAUCUCUAGCACUGGAAUUAUUAUUAGACCAGUCUAAGAUUGAGUUAGAAUAACUAGUCACAUGAGGGAAAGAGAAGAAUCACUAUAACUCUUUUUAUAUGACUAAUUUUUCUAAGUCAGAUUAAUUAGGAAUUAAUUAGGAAUUAAUUAGCAAGGAUGGGUCAAAAACAUGUACCCAAUUAAGCUUUCUUGUCACUACAGUCAGGGCACUGAGUGAACUCAUCUGUCAGCUCGUCACAUGAAUUAGCCGUCAUGCUUCUGCAGCAUUCUGUGAAGAGAACCUAUGCUUUUCCCCCUACCAAUAAGGUAGCUGUCCAGGAUCAGGCCAUAUGUCAAUAAGUAGAUCCUUUUAAGAUACUAUAAGGCAUUUAUUAAGUUCUUUGACAUCCAAAUUUCAAAAUUCUAAAAGUAUGAUUUAAAUAAUGUGCAUGGGGAUAUAAUUCCCCCUGUCUUAGUCAGGGUUUCUAUUCCUGCACAAACAUCAUGACCAAGAAGCAAGUUGGGGAGGAAAGGGUUUAUUCAGUUUACAAUUCCAUACUGCUGUUUAUCACCAAGGAAGUCAGGACUAGAACUCAAACAGGUCAGGAAGCAGGAGCUGAUGCAGAGGCCAUGGAGGGAUGUUCCUUACUGGUUUGCUUCAUUUUCAAUUGAUUCAAUUGAAAAUGCCUUACAAUUGGAUCUCAUGGAGGCAUUUCCUCAACUGAAGCUCCUUUCUCUGUGAUAACUCCAGCUGUGUCAAGUUGACACAAAACUAGCCAGUACACCCGCUUCUGUGUUUUCUAAGAAGCUAGAGUUUUAAAGUUCCACAAUACCUUGUCCUUGAGAAUUAAUAAUUUCUUGACAAAACACCUCAAACACUUGACUGUUAUAGUCAGUAUUAAUGUAACUUGGGCAGUGACUAAUUGCACUUUCAAUUGUUUCUCUUGAAGAGCAGUUGUAACUAGAAAGCUUGAAAAGUUAUUAAUAGUCACGUGUGUAUAAUUUAUUUAUUUAUUAAAUCAGAAAUAAGAGCAUUUAUUUGCAGCAAUUUAUUAAGUAUAAGUCCUCAAGAAUUAACACUAUUAUGUGGAAACAAGUAGGAACUGAGGACACUAAGAACAAAAAAUUUUUUACAAUUUGACAUGCACAUUUUCCAAGAAUACCAAUAUAUUAUCUUAAACCAUAACUGUUUUGAAUAUACAAAGAACGAGAUUAUAUAUCCAAUCCGUCUUAUAUGUAGGACCUAUAGACUUCCUGAGAUAUAAAUCCAGCAUGGCAUUGCCUUAAGAUGUCUUGUCCAGGCAAUCCAGAACAAUUUAUUAAAUGUCCAAAAACAGCCUUCUUAAAAGGACAGCAUUUUUUCUUAUGAGUUGUAUAUGCAUAAGCAAUUGCAAAUUUGAGAAUUAAUAGCAUCCGAGGGAUGAACAAUCUUAAGCAAUUGUGAGCUCUGAGAUAUAAUAUUGCCUAUUAAUAUACAAAUUAAGGUUUGAUUGUUCAGCGUUUUAAAACACCAUCCACAGCACACAACUUAAUUAUCUGUGCUGAAACAGGAGGAAACUCAAAAGAAUAAACGUGUGAUCUAAUUCACAUCUACUUAUUUCCCAUAGAGGGGUUGUUUUUAAACACAGUAACUGGGAUGCAUGCAGCAUGAAUUUAUAGAAGACACAGAAGCAUGUAUAAAAACAAUUUUUAACUUAUCUAUUAUUUAAAAUGAUGGUAUGCGAUAGAUCAAUUAUUAAUAUUCUGUAAUAACCAAAUUAAUUGCUGUUUGGAAGAAGGAACAGACACUUAGUCAGGUUCUUAAGACACAAUUUUUGUUAUGGUUAUCUCAAACUAAAUGAAUUUAUCUUACAAUUCUUUGUUAGCACCACAGUAGCCUUAAUAGGUGUUAAAACUUUACUUUGAGGUGAAGAAGGAUGAUUUUACAACAAUAUUUUCUCUUGCCAAGGAAUUGCUGUGGGCACCUAAAUAAAAUAAGCAGGUAAUACUUAAUUACCAAUGAUUAAUUGAUAACAAUUGAUCACAGAAGUUUCUUUUGCCUUCUGUAAAGCCUCUUUGCUUCUCACCAGUCAUCUUGAAUCUCACUAGAUAGCACCUAACAGAGGUUUAAGUUGCUUUAAGGCCUCAAGGUGAGGUCUCAGCCAAUUAACAUCUCCUGGAAGCUUUUGAAAAUAAAAUUUUGAAGC
rnacentral:lncRNA from 1 species